GACGAACGCUGGCGGCGUGCUUAACACAUGCAGGUCGAACGGAAAGGCCCUGCUUUUGUGGGGUGCUCGAGUGGCGAACGGGUGAGUAACACGUGAGUAACCUGCCCUUGACUUUGGGAUAACUUCAGGAAACUGGGGCUAAUACCGGAUAGGAGCUCCUGCUGCAGGGUGGGGGUUGGAAAGUUUCGGCGGUUGGGGAUGGACUGGCGGCGUAUCAGAUUGUUGGUGGGGUAGUGGCUUACCAAGGCUUGGACGGGUAGCCGGCCUGGGCGGAUGACCGGCCACGUUGGGACUGAGAUGAGACACAGACUCCUACGGGAGGCAACAGUGGGGUGUGUUACACAAUGGGCGGAGGCCUGGUGCAGCAAAGCCGCGUGCGGGAUGACGGCCUUCGGGUUGUAUACCGAUGUCGCCUGUGACGAAACGUGAGUGACGGUAAUGGGUGAAGAAGCACCGGCUAACUACGUG
rnacentral:rRNA from 1 species